GAUGAACGCUGGCGGCGUGCCUAAUACAUGCAAGUCGAGCGAACGGACGAGAAGCUUGCUUUUCUGAUGUUAGCGGCGGACGGGUGAGUAACACGUGGAUAACCUACCUAUAAGACUGGGAUAACUUCGGGAAACCGGAGCUAAUACCGGAUAAUAUUUUGAACCACAUGGUUCAAAAGUGAAAGACGGUCUUGCUGUCACUUAUAGAUGGAUCCGCGCUGCAUUAGCUAGUUGGUAAGGUAACGGCUUACCAAGGCAACGAUGCAUAGCCGACCUGAGAGGGUGAUCGGCCACACUGGAACUGAGACACGGUCCAGACUCCUACGGGAGGCAGUAGUAGGGAAUCUUCCGCAAUGGGCGAAAGCCUGACGGAGCAACGCCGCGUGAGUGAUGAAGGUCUUCGGAUCGUAAAACUCUGUUAUUAGGGAAGAACAUAUGUGUAAGUAACUGUGCACAUCUUGACGGUACCUAAUCAGAAAGCCACGGCUAACUACGUG
rnacentral:rRNA from 1 species